UGGAAUUUAAAAUAAAACGUAACUUUUAUUUACAUGAAUAAAAAAACUCCAUGGUGUCCUCGGGGGGACGCGUUUCGCGCAGAUCAUGCUUCAUCAAGCCCAUGACACUUAAAACGUGC